GGUAGUUCUUGGCUUAUGCACUCCAGAAUCAGGCUCCCUCCUCUCUGGUUCCCGGUGCAUCACCUGAGAACUGCA
rfam:Myotis davidii contig318981, whole genome shotgun sequence.